rnacentral:ribozyme from 1 species
CUAUUUUGGGUGAUUUGAAUAAAAAGAGCGACGAAGGUCGUAUCGUACACUAUGAAUCUCCAGCAAAUCCAGGACAACGAAUCUCCAUUGGUUAUAGUUCUCAAGUUGCAUGGAUUCAAAACGCCACCGUUCGUGACAACAUACUGUUUGGUAAACCAUACAAUGAGGAGUUUUACAAACAAGUGAUUCGAGCGUGCGCAUUGAAGGAUGACAUGAAAAUAUUUCCAAAUGGAGACCAGA